GUAUCUGUAAUAACAUAGCAUCCGGAGUGAGAUCAAUUUCUCUAGCAACUGUUAGAUGUAGCGCAGAUCGAAGUAACUAUGUUGGAUGGAGAGCUAGAAGCAGGAUAACCGUGGCCGAAGUAGAAUACGGCGUUGGCUCUGGUGCCUGCGCCUCGCUGUCUACAUUUAACAUUCAAUAUCUGAACAAGUACUACUACGCUUACACAGGAAGUGCAAAUGCCUAUAUUGUGAGUAUUAAUAAUAAUAAUGUUAAGUCUUACAACUAAAAGUUGGAUUUUACAGGUAAGUUUUAAAAAAGUGAUAAAAGCAACUAAAACACAUUAUUACAGUAAAACAUGAAUUCACUGAUAAAAAUAUAAAAUCUGAACUGCUUCUUUAAAGUAGUUCCAUAAAAGAAUUCAAUUAAUAUUAAAAUAUUAAAUCAAUCAGUUUCUUCAAAAUAAUUCGAUCAAUAACACAAAAUAAUGCAAUUAUUAAAAUAUUCUAUUAAUCAGUUUCAUUGUUCAUUAAAAUUCCUUAGGGUCCAUGGGAUAAAAGCCUUUGCAUAUCUAACAGUUCUAACCUUUGGGAUAUAGUAGUUCUAAGAGUGUUUCAGAGAAUGCCAAUGUUCUUUAACUUUUCGUAAUAAUUGGUUAAAUCUGUGCUUUUCCAUACACAUGCUUGUAAACAUUUUAAGGCAUUCGUUGUUGCCACUGAUUUGCAAGGGAACAGAGUUGGUUUUUUUUUUAAUGCUUCGGUGGACGAAUUGUUUGGAUACAUGCAGUUGAAUUUUGAUUGGGUACGAAAUACUUCACUUACAAUGUACGUUAGUGUUGGUUUAAACCUUGGGCACAGCAAUUAACCAUACAUGAUUGGGAGUGACAACAAGGAGGGCCUUAACAAAAAUGACUAAAAAUAGCCCCACAUUUUGCUUUUUCUCUUCCACCAAUACAGGUAGUGGUGUAAUUAGUUGUGCAACUAUCUUCUAGAGCGAGACAUUCCGGAAGAGGGCCAGUGAUACAGCACUUGUCAUUCAUUAUUCUGGAAAUUUGUAUGUGUCCGGAAGCCCCGCCUGUUCGCGAUGGUACUUUAAGUUUAAUGGAGCAGAAUGCCAAAACCCAGGCACUGUCGAUAUGGUCUUCUACGUGCAAGGAGAUAGCAUGUUUCACAGGGGAUAUGCAUUACACGGACUAUGUAAAGGACUUGCGGCAGGGACGGUUACGGUUUCCCUUCACGUUGGAGCCUGUUACGAUAGCUAUAAUGCAGGCCAUCCCCAUACCGGUUGGAAUCAAGAGAAUAUACUGAUCAUGGAGGAGUCGCGUCUUGGCAAUGAUAUAAGUGCUGUUCUCACCCCAAGUGGUCACGCAUAUCGUCUCCCAGUGGUGAACAGACAGCACGGGUGGUGGCUCAGCCUUAACAACGGG